UUUAGCAAAGUGGCAGAUAAAUGCAAUGAGUUUAAGCCUCAUGUAUGAAAUAAGUUAAUUUCCUUUGUAAAG
rnacentral:tRNA from 1 species